rfam:Macaca mulatta chromosome 13, whole genome shotgun sequence.
UAAAAGACUUUUUUAAAAGUCAUCAAGAGCAGAUGGAAAAGAUUG